CAGUCGCCGCGGUAAUACGUAGGUGGCAAGCGUUGCCCGGAAUUAUUGGGCGUAAAGGGCUUGCAGGCGGUUUCUUAAGUCUGAUGUGAAAGCCCCCGGCUCAACCGGGGAGGGUCAUUGGAAACUGGGAAACUUGAGUGCAGAAGAGGAGAGUGGAAUUCCACGUGUAGCGGUGAAAUGCGAAGAGAUGUGGAGGAACACCAGUGGCGAAGGCGACCCUCUGGUCUGUAACUGACGCUGAGGAGCGAAAGCGUGGGGAGCGAACAGGAUUAGAGACCCCUGUAGUCCCUGUCUCUUAUAC
rnacentral:rRNA from 1 species